rnacentral:rRNA from 1 species
CAUACGGGGUGCAGCAGUGGGGAAUAUUGGACAAUGGGCGAAAGCCUGAUCCAGCCAUGCCGCGUGUGUGAAGAAGGCCUUCGGGUUGUAAAGCACUUUCAGUGGGGAAGAAAGCCUUGGGGCUAAUACCCUCGAGGAAGGACAUCACCCACAGAAGAAGCACCGGCUAACUCCGUGCCAGCAGCCGCGGUAAUACGGAGGGUGCGAGCGUUAAUCGGAAUUACUGGGCGUAAAGCGCGCGUAGGCGGUCUGAUAAGCCGGUUGUGAAAGCCCCGGGCUCAACCUGGGAACGGCAUCCGGAACUGUCAGGCUAGAGUGCAGGAGAGGAAGGUAGAAUUCCCGGUGUAGCGGUGAAAUGCGUAGAGAUCGGGAGGAAUACCAGUGGCGAAGGCGGCCUUCUGGACUGACACUGACGCUGAGGUGCGAAAGCGUGGGUAGCAAACAGGAUUAGAUACCCGAGUAGUC